UGAUCUGGUCAAAAUAUCUAUCUUCCCAUUGAUGCUAGAACUGAUGAAGUUUAUCUGACAGAUUGACUUGGGGGUCCUUGUACCAUUCAUUGCCUUUCCUCUCAGAUCUUUACAUUCAGUUGGGGAAAAAAAAGAACAACCUUCCUUGACAGAGCAGUAGCAUUCUUUGGUCAAGGUUAUCUAGGAAGUCAGCUCUCCUAAUAGCAACUACAAAUGAGUUCUCAAAGUGUAUUUGUAAGAAUCUAUGAUAUUAAAAUUUACUGUUUCAACAAAGUUCAUGAGUAACUGGGUUACAAAGU
rnacentral:snRNA from 1 species